CGUGUAGGCUGUCAGUUAAGUCGAUUGUGAAAUCCCUGGGAUCAACCCAGGAAGUGCAUUCGAAACUGGCUGGCUAGAAGACGUUAGAGGAAGGUGGAAUUCCAAGUGUAGAGGUGAAAUUCGUAGAUAUUUGGAGGAAUACCGGUGGCGAAGGCGGCCUUCUGGGACGAUCUUGACGCUGAGACGCGAAAGCAUGGGUAGCAAACA
rnacentral:rRNA from 1 species